CCCUUAGACGUUCUGGGCCGCACGCGCGCUACACUGACCAGUGCAACAAGCAUCCGUCCUUGGCCGACAGGCCCGGGCAAUCUUUGAACGCUGGUCGUGGUGGGGAUAGACUUUUGCAAUUUUUGGUCUUCAACGAGGAAUUCCUAGUAAACGCAAGUCAUCAACUUGCAUUGAUUACGUCCCUGCCCUUUGUACACACCGCCCGUCGCACCUACCGAUUGAAUGGUCCGGUGAAGCCUCCGGAUUGGCGCGCACCUCGGUGCCGCCGAGAAGUUGGCUAAACCUUACCAUUUAGAGGAAGGUGAAGUCGUANCA
rnacentral:rRNA from 1 species